UAAAGGUUUGGUCCUAGCCUUGAAGUCAGUUUUUAUUUAAUAUACACAUGCAAGUCUCCGCACCCCUGUGAGAACGCCCUUUAACUUCCCGUUAGGAAAUAGGAGCUGGUAUCAGGCACAACUUUUUGCCCAAAACACCUAGCCUCGCCACACCCACAAGGGACUUCAGCAGUGAUUAACAUUGAGCAUAAGCGACAGCUUGACUCAGUUAAACUAAUUAGAGCCGGCCAAUCUGGUGCCAGCCGCCGCGGUUACACCACUGUGGCUCAAAUUGACCUCCAUCGGCGUAAAGCGUGAUUUAAGUAUUUAAAUAUCAUUGAAGCUAAAUUAAAACUAAGCUGUGACACGCUUGUUAAUUAAGAAGCCCAAAAACGAAAGUUGCUUCAAUUAAAUCAACUUGAACUCACGACAACUGAGAAACAAACUGGGAUUAGAUACCCCACUAUGCUCAGUCGUAAACUUUUUCCUACUCACUCAAUCGCCUGGGAACUACGAGCCAAGCUUAAAACCCAAAGGACUUGACGGUACCCCACAUCCACCUAGAGGAGCCUGUCCUGUAAUCGAUAACCCCCGUUUAACCUCACCAUCUUUAGUAACUCAGCCUGUAUACCUCCGUCGUCAGCUUACCACGUGAGCGUCAGUGAGCUUAAUGUUCUUUCAACUAAACGUCAGGUCAAGGUGCAACACAUGAGACGGGAAGAGAUGGGCUACACUUUCUAACUUAGACUAUACGAAAGACUAUCUAUGAAACCUAGUCUGAAGGCGGAUUUAGAAGUAAAAUGGAACUAGAGAGUCCUUUUUAACCCGGCACUGGGGUGUGUACACACCGCCCGUCACCCUCCUCAACGCUAUUAAGAGUCUAUAACAUAUUUUUAGCCCUUCAGAAGAGGCAAGUCGUAACAUGGUAAGUAUACCGGAAGGUGUGCUUGGAAA
rnacentral:ncRNA from 1 species